GGGGAGCCCAGAGCCACUGCCAGAGCUCUGUGAUUGGUGGAUGAGGUCUUUGAGGGACUCCCCAGCUGGGAUGAACACUUCCUGUUCCACGUCUUUGUGAUAGCACUGACGCUCGCUCUGCCACUUGUACCUGACACACACACACACACACACACACACACACACACACACACACACACACACACACAGUUACAGGUGUGUCACGGUUGCCAAGGUGAUGCUGAGGCGUUACCUGUAGUAGCAGACCACAGUGACACAGAUGAGCGUGCAGCAGCACACCGUCAUGGAGACCAGGAAGGCCAACCAGUGGGGGCUGCCUUCUGCAAACAAGAUGGAGCCAAAGUGGCGACUAUCGGGGCGUUUCGAGUGCGACAUCUUGUAUUACUUCUUCCUGUGAGCGCACUUAAAUACCAAGUUUAAGUACCAGAAGGCUCCUGCGGGGGCAGUGUGGGCUGCAGGUCCCGAUUGCAGAAGUCCGUGUUGCAGCACUCGAUGGUCCUCCUGGUCUGAGCGUUGGGAGAGUCCUGUCCAUCAAACACACAAAUGUAUGGAUCAUAUCGGCAUGAUCAAUCCUGUGUGUGUGUGUGUGUGUGUGUGCGUGUACCUUGCACUGGAAGUGUGAGCCUUCAUACUUCAUGCAGCCCGAGGUGAGGAUGGGCUCGCCGUGCUCGUCCUCCUCGAUGAUGGCGAAGCACUGACCAUUGGUUCUGCGGAACAAGAGCAAUCAAAUUUACUUCCGCCUUCUGAAACGCUUGAAGAGUAGAAGUACUUUUUUCCCCCCGCGCUUUGAACCCUGUGGCUUAUAAAACGAUGCGGCUAAUCAUGGAUUUUUCUUCGCUAUAAAAACAAAAAAACUCCGAAAAUGUGUGUUAUUGUUUGUGCAAUGGCGCCAUCCUUUGGACGAGUUUUCUCACUGCAUUGUCCUUCGGUUUAAACUGAGCUUUCAACAUCUGAUAGUCGUCCAUAGCGUUUCUACUCGUAUGGAUUCUUCAUUCAUCACUCCAAGCAACGUUUGUAAGCUUUACAAUAUAACUAAAACAAUUCAUAUUUACUAAAGCGUCCCAUGUGUGAUGUCUGUAGGAGUGUUUUCAAGCGUAUUGUACGUGCUAUCAUAAUGUAAUGUAACCAGGAUCAUUAGCAUUAGCUAAAAUGCUAACAGGUGUCAUAGCGUCUGUGUUAGUAUUAUUAACUUACAAUGGCAUUCUUUUUGUAUUUUUUCAGUUUCACAAAUUCCUCAGUAAAUGCAUCAAAACGUCACCGUGGAGUUAUUGAGUCCGUUGGAGAACUAGUUCCCGCAUCUAGUGGGUCCAUGACAAUGACUUCUGUUUUGUUUGAUCAGCCGUUUUACUGCCGUGUUUCGGACAAUUAAGAAAUGUAAAUAAACAUUGACUAAAUAUUUCUGUGUAAAUAACUCAUUCUCACAACGUAUAUAUCCACAGUUUAGUUUAGUUUAUGCUAACACGUAAGGACAUUUAGCUAUGUUCUUACUUCAAAAGAAAGCUAUUCGAAUUCUAAAUUAUGCGGAUUAUCAUGACCAUACCAAUGCUCUGUUUAUUGAAUAAAAAAAACAUUAAAACGGCACGAUCUUGUUGACCUCAACACUGCUAUUGUGACGUACAAAGCUCAUAAGCGCAUGCUGCCAGGGUGUCGGCAGGAGAGGUUUAAACCUGGGGAGUCCCGAUGACCUCAGAGGUUCAGCUGUCUUUCAGAAAGCAAACAUAAGAAGGAGCUUAAAAAGUAGAUGUGUUUCUGUCAGGUGGGGUUCAUCUGUGAAACAGCUUGGAUUAUUCCUUAAAAUGUUCCAGUUCCAUUCACACAUUUGAAAAACACUUUAAGAUGGUUUGGAAAAAUAUAUCACUCUUGAAUCAACACAGUAGUUAAUACUAUGAUCAAUGUUAAUUACAAAUUAAAUGUGGGAUACAAAUAAUAAUGGAAGUAUAACUGUUUGUAUAUAGCAGGCG